AUGAUGUUCAAGGCAUAUAGCGUUGCCAUGGGAAGUCUUCUGGUGAUAAAGCACCCAAUCGUCCCUGAGGGCAUCAUUACCAUUUCCCUCUUGCUGGAGUGCAAAACCAGGCCAGGAUGGGACACACAGCCCAAGAGGCCCUGUAUUCAUGGAAAAGAAGUGCUCUUACUGUUCCACAUUUAUUAA
rnacentral:lncRNA from 12 species